GUGAGUAUGCUGGGACAGGCCCUUUGCAGGGGCGCUUACUGAACGGUUUCAAGCGUGAUUGCAAGCGAUGCGUCGUCGUAUUGCUUGCUAGGAGCGAUACAUAGUAGUUACCGGCCUGCUGGGCUCACCCCAGGAAGAAGGCCUAAGGUUACAAUAAGCAGUAAGAAGCUGGACCACGUGUUCAAGGCCCAGAGUGUUCAAGGCCUAGGAGAUCUUGGUUUGUAGUACGAUGUGCAUUGCUAAUUUUCGCUCUUUUGUGUGCAUGCCAUGGGAAAAUAAUCUGGUGGACAAUUAAUCUGGUAUUGUAUAAAAACGUGGUUUAAAAAGACGCGGAUCUUUUCUAAUAAAUGAGUAUUUCCUUUGCAGAGCCAACCAACAUGCCAUUUUCUCAUACUUCACACCAUUAUUCACUCAAUAAAAGAAGCCAUCACACCUUUGAUAUGUUGAGUACGAGAUGAGGUGAGCUAGUACUGGAAAAUAUAUGGUAGCCUUGGUUGGUGAGUGACUGAGUGCAUCUCUUCCUCUUGCUCCUGUGUGCAAGAAAGCUCCAAGCUCUAGUUCCUCAUCUAAUUUUCCUGUCUUGCUGCUCUGGUCUCGUGAAUUUCUGCAUCGUGAAAGGUUAUAUAUGGAUGACAUUGUUGAUGCAUUGCUUCUCAAGCUUCACUCAAAGAUAUGUUAUCAUAGGGAUGCCAGUGUCGACUACCUGGAAAUCAAGGCCACGGUUGAUAAACUCGUAGAGGCGAACAAAAGGCUCAAGGAUGAGAAAGUGGACUUCCAGGAUGUCAUUAAUAUGGUCACAGAAGACAAGGAGAAUUUGCAGCAUGACUGUCAAGUAAUCAAGGAGCGGGUGGCAAAAAAGGAGGAGCAACUUGAAACUGUAAAGAAGGAACUUGAUGAAGCAAAACAUGAACAUGUGGCAGCAAAGAAGGAGCUUGAGGAAGAAAAACUUGGCCAUGUGGCAAGGAGCUUGCAGCGGCACACCAACAACUUGCUCAAAGGAACGAAGAGCUGGAGAUUUUAAGGAAGAAGCUUCAAGAGAGUGAACAUGUACCUUCCAAAAGGGUAACAAGAUCUGCACAUAAACGGCAAAUGCUACUCAAAGGAUCGCUGAGCAAUGAUGCGGAUGGACAUCGCCCAAAGAAACAUAAGUCCUAUCAGCAUGCAAGCCAUACACUCUAAUACAGGUCGAGGUGGAACAGUGUGUGCUAGCAGUUGCAAGUGAGGAAGGAAGCCAUCGUCGUAGCAGGCCAUGACUAACACUAGCAACUAGCAAGCAUGCAAGAAAGUUGUACUAUAUUAGCUACCUAUGACGCUGGUGUUGAAUAGUGUUAUAAUCCCCAUUUCAUGUAUAUUUUAGAAUUUAUUUCAGAACCUUGGUGUGUAAAAAAUUUGGCACUUUGAUUCGCGCUUCUACUAGUAACUGAUGUAUAAAUAUUAUAUGACUUAAUUUUAUGAAACCUUCAUUUAACGGUC